AGGAUACGGGACAGCGACUUUUUACACUGAAUUACCAAAUUCGCAACAUGUUGCAGCAACAUUUGCUUAAGCAUGUGCAGCUUGGCAACAUGUUGAAUGUAAGUGUGCAUCAUAUUGCUAUGUUAUUACGUGAUCAUGUUAAAUAAAUACUUAUAAGAUAUUUUAUUAACAUUGAAUUGGGAACCAAUUUCUGCUAUGUUAUUAACUGGUCAAGUUAAAUAAAUACUUAUAGGAUAUUUUAUAAACAUUGAAUUGGGAAAACAAAUGUGUGAAGUUUCUGAAAUUUACAUCCUAUAGAAAACAUAGGUUGGAAACCUGGGUAUCUAGAUGUCCGUAUAGAGGGUUGAAUGGUAAGAGAACACAAAUUAAUGGAGAUAUAUAUAGGAGCACGCAAAGAAUAAAAUUAUAAUAGGAAGACAUCAAAAUUAAUUAAUGCUACUUAGAGUAAAUAUACGUCUGUCCCGUAUCCUUACUACUUGGUGGCGCCACCUAUCGGCGAUAAUGUGAACUAACUUCGAUCUUAAUCCUGUUUCUCAACCAUGUAAAAUCCUCUCAAAUCGAUCCUUCGCUCAUUUAUAUUCUCUCUCCUCCCACUUACUGUCAAUGAACCUGUUUUUACGAUUGGUCCCGUGUUGCGAUUCAAACAACCCUCAAACAGCAAAGUGCCUAUAUAAUAACUACUCACAGCUAACAGCUAGGACAUAAACUAGUAAUCUUUCAACAACGAUGGAUGACCUUGAAAUCAUUUUUAUCGAUUCCCAACCGGAAUCAACCAUAAAUCUGGACUCUCAGCCGAGCUCCGUAGACCUGUCCUUGAUUUUUGGGAUUAAGACUCAAACCUAUCUCGAGAGCAACUUGACCUGGUUAAGUGACAUUAAAUGGGAUGAUGACGACGAUGACCCAAGGAAUGCAACGUCUAAUAAUGAUAAUCCAGCAUACAUUUUCCCGGAUGAUGACAACAUUUUCGAUUUAGUAGAUAAUCAGGAUGAUGAUAAAAGAUCUCAACUCCAGGAACUACUUCGG